rfam:Flavisolibacter ginsengisoli DSM 18119 genome assembly, contig: EJ52DRAFT_scaffold00027.27
GGAUCCUUAGCUCAGAUGGUUAGAGCAUCUGACUCAUAAUCAGAGGGUCGCUGGUUCGAUCCCAGCAGGAUCCA